UAUUUUACCGAUUCUCGUUUUUCCCUGUGUGACAACUAACUACAAGUUUCUUCUAAAAAAAGGAAUCCCACUUGUAUUCAAGCAAAAAAUCAUAUCAAUUUAACACAUUUUUAAUAAAUAAACGUGAAUAAUUGCAUAAAUUUUAAAAAUUCUCAGGCGAAUGUUUACAUUGAGUCAUUAAACGUCAUCAAAUACAUUGUUCAUAUCUAUAUCGCUUCCAAAUCGCUUUUUUAGAUUUUAAAUAGAAAUAUGUCUGGCAAUAACACAUUAAUAGCGAAUUCUAAAAUUGGGGAAAAAUUCGGAAAGAGUUGCAAAGAACGUUACAUUGAAAUCGAAAUAGUAUGUGAAAGAGAUUUUCAAUCUCCUAAACAAUUCAUCGCUAUGUUAACAGAUUGCCUGAUUCAUUGGCAAACGCAAUCAAUCAACCAUAUUCAGUUCAAAGUGCCAAUAACAAUGGAGAAAGGUGCGCACAUUUUAACCAUUCUGUAUCAAAAUGGGUUCGGGUUUUUAAAAUUUGACGAUGGUUGUUGCGUUGUUUUCAAAAACCUUGAAAAUGAUGCGGUCGUCCGAGUUGUUCAACAGCAGUUCAACGAAUUUCGAAUUGGGAAUUAAAUAAUAUGAACAUUCACAGGAUGAUAGUGGCGGCUCUAGUUCAAUCAAUGAAUCGAUGACACGAUCUCCGCAGCCAUCACACACAUCAGAAGCAAAUGAUUCGGCUUUUGAUGUCAAUCAAGCAGGCCCUUCCAACCAGGCCUUUGGCUCUGUUUCAAUCAAUACACCGGUCGCACGAUCUCCGCUCUUAUCGCACUCGUCAGAAUCAAAUGAUUCCGAAAAUACAGGUAUAUUAACACAAGCAUCACCGCAUUUGCAAACACCCAGCCCAGGUGAACCAUCAGAACCAUCACCUAUCUCAUCAUCAGACUUCCAUUUGAAUGAAAACAGUAACAGCCGUGAACCUGUUUUCAGUCACUCAGAUGAUUCCAAUCAACAAGUUCCUCAUAUAGAUUGAUUAAUUGAAUACAAUACAAGCUAUAAACUUGCUGCAAACAACUAAUUUCAUUGUAUGUUCAUUACGUAAACCAAAAAGUAAAAUUAUUAAACGUUUAUUUCGAAUAUAUACAUUGUCAUUUAAAAGGCAGAUUUAACACAAUUAAAUCUUCUUUUUUGGGAAAA